GGGGGCAUGGCGGAAUGGCAGACGCUACGGACUUAAAAUCCGUUGACCGCAAGGUCGUGUGGGUUCAAGUCCCACUGCCCCCA
rnacentral:tRNA from 1 species